rnacentral:rRNA from 1 species
GACGAACGCUGGCGGCGUGCUUAACACAUGCAAGUCGAACGGAAAGGCCCUGCUUGCAGGGUACUCGAGUGGCGAACGGGUGAGUAACACGUGGGUGAUCUGCCCUGCACUUCGGGAUAAGCCUGGGAAACUGGGUCUAAUACCGGAUAGGAGCCAUUUUUAGUGUGAUGGUUGGAAAGUUUUUUCGGUGUAGGAUGAGCUCGCGGCCUAUCAGCUUGUUGGUGGGGUAAUGGCCUACCAAGGCGGCGACGGGUAGCCGGCCUGAGAGGGUGGACGGCCACAUUGGGACUGAGAUACGGCCCAGACUCCUACGGGAGGCAGCAGUGGGGAAUAUUGCACAAUGGGCGCAAGCCUGAUGCAGCGACGCCGCGUGGGGGAUGACGGCCUUCGGGUUGUAAACUCCUUUCGCUAGGGACGAAGCUUUUUGUGACGGUACCUAGAUAAGAAGCACCGGCUAACUACGUGCCAGCAGCCGCGGUAAUACGUAGGUGGCAAGCGUUAUCCGGAAUUAUUGGGCGUAAAGCGCGCGUAGGCGGUUUUUUAAGUCUGAUGUGAAAGCCCACGGCUCAACCGUGGAGGGUCAUUGGAAACUGGAAAACUUGAGUGCAGAAGAGGAAAGUGGAAUUCCAUGUGUAGCGGUGAAAUGCGCAGAGAUAUGGAGGAACACCAGUGGCGAAGGCGACUUUCUGGUCUGUAACUGACGCUGAUGUGCGAAAGCGUGGGGAUCAAACAGGAUUAGAUACCCUGGUAGUCCACGCCGUAAACGAUGAGUGCUAAGUGUUAGGGGGUUUCCGCCCCUUAGUGCUGCAGCUAACGCAUUAAGCACUCCGCCUGGGGAGUACGACCGCAAGGUUGAAACUCAAAGGAAUUGACGGGGACCCGCACAAGCGGUGGAGCAUGUGGUUUAAUUCGAAGCAACGCGAAGAACCUUACCAAAUCUUGACAUCCUUUGACAACUCUAGAGAUAGAGCUUUCCCCUUCGGGGGACAAAGUGACAGGUGGUGCAUGGUUGUCGUCAGCUCGUGUCGUGAGAUGUUGGGUUAAGUCCCGCAACGAGCGCAACCCUUAAGCUUAGUUGCCAUCAUUAAGUUGGGCACUCUAAGUUGACUGCCGGUGACAAACCGGGGGAAGGUGGGGAUGACGUCAAAUCAUCAUGCCCCUUAUGAUUUGGGCUACACACGUGCUACAAUGGACAAUACAAAGGGCAGCGAAACCGCGAGGUCAAGCAAAUCCCAUAAAGUUGUUCUCAGUUCGGAUUGUAGUCUGCAACUCGACUACAUGAAGCUGGAAUCGCUAGUAAUCGUAGAUCAGCAUGCUACGGUGAAUACGUUCCCGGGUCU